AAGUCGUAACAAGGUUUCCGUAGGUGAACCUGCGGAAGGAUCAUUAACGUAUCUCCGAGGAGGGGUUCGGUCGCGUCCCGCUCCGGUCCAGACUGGGCCGUCGCAGCGGGCGUCCGUCCCCGACUCACAACCCACACAAACCCCACUGUGCUCCUUUACGGCCAGAGGGCGCCAACGGCGUCUGAAGCCGCAUUCAAUAGACUCCAGUUCAAAAGAAUGUGAAGCGGACUCUGAUCUGCCUACAAUUGAAACAACUUUCAACAACGGAUCUCUUGGCUCUC
rnacentral:misc_RNA from 1 species